rnacentral:rRNA from 1 species
CCUACGGGAGGCAGCAGUGAGGAAUAUUGGUCAAUGGGCGCUAGCCUGAACCAGCCAAGUCGCGUGAAGGAUGACUGCCCUAUGGGUUGUAAACUUCUUUUAUAUGGGAAUAAAGUCCAGUAUGUAUCCUGCUUUGCAUGUACCUUAUGAAUAAGGAUCGGCUAACUCCGUGCCAGCAGCAGCGUUAAUACGGAGGAUCCGAGCGUUAUCCGGAUUUAAUGGGUGUAAAGGGAGCGUAGGCGGGUUGUUAAGUAAGUGGUGAAAGGUUGCGGCUCAACCGUAAAACUGCAGUUGAUACUGGCAGCCUGGAGUACAGUAGAGGUAGGCGGAAUGCGUGGUGUAGCGGUGAAAUGCUUAGAUAUCACGAAGAACUCCGAUUGCGAAGGCAGCCUGCUGGACUGUAACUGACGCUGAGGCUCGAAAGUGUGGGUAUCAAACAGGAUUAGAUACCCGUGUAGUC